rnacentral:rRNA from 1 species
UUAAGCUGAUAAGGGCGCAGGGAGGAUGCCUUGGCACUAAGAGCCGAAGAAGGACGUGAUAAGCUGCGAAAAGCUGCGGUUAGGAGCAAAUAUCCGAUAACCCGCAGAUGUCCGAAUGGGGAAACCCGGCAGAGCAAACCUCUGUCAUCCAUACGCCAAUACAUAACGUAUGGAAGGGAACCCGGUGAACUGAAACAUCUAAGUAGCCGGAGGAAGAGAAAGAAACAUCGAUUUCCUGAGUAGCGGCGAGCGAAAGGGAAGGAGCCUAAACCGUGGUGCGUGCACCGCGGGGUAAUGGACUGCAAAAGUGAGCUGAAAGCUAGAAGAAUGGUUUUGGGAAAGCCAGCCAGAGAGAGUGAAAGCCUCGUACUCGAAAGCGGAAGGCAGCGGCAGGAUCCGGAGUACCACGAGACACGUGGAACCUUGUGGGAAAUCGGGGGGACCACCCCCCAAGGCUAAAUACUACUUAGUGACCGAUAGCGCAUAGUACUGUGAAGGAAAGGUGAAAAGAACCCCGGGAGGGGAGUGAAAGAGAACCUGAAACCCUGUGUCUACAAGCUGUGGAAGCACUCUAUACGUGCAACCGCGUACUUUUUGUAGAACGGUCCGGCGAGUUAUGCGGUGUGGCAAGGUUAAGCACUUAAAGUGUGGAGCCGAAGGGAAACCAAGUCUUAACCGGGCGUCCAGUCACAUAGCAUAGACCCGAAACCGGGUGAUCUACCCAUGUCCAGGUUGAAGCUGCUGUAAAAGGCGGUGGAGGACCGAACGCACAUCCGUUGAAAAGGGUGGCGAUGAGGUGUGGGUAGGGGAGAAAUUCCAAUCGAACUCGGAGAUAGCUGGUUCUCCUCGAAAUAGUUUUAGGACUAGCCUGUCAACAGUCUGCCGGAGGUAGAGCACUGAAUUUCCGCGGGGGCGUCAAAGCUUACCAAAGAAUAUCAAACUCCGAAUGCCGGCCAGAUGAUUUGACGGAGUCAGACUGCACGAGAUAAGUUGGGUAGUCAAAAGGGAAACAGCCCAGACCACCAGCUAAGGUCCCAAAGUGCGUGUUAAGUGGAAAAGGAUGUGGGGAUUCGAAGACAACUAGGAUGUUGGCUCAGAAGCAGCCAUACAUUCAAAGAGUGCGUAACAGCUCACUAGUCGAGAGUCCCUGCGCCGAAAAUGUCCGGGGCUGAAACACGACACCGAAGCUGUGGAAUCAUCGUAAGAUGAUUGGUAGAGGAGCAUUCUUAACACGGCGAAGCGUUACCGGAAGGAGACGUGGAGAGUUAAGAAGAGAGAAUGCCGGAAUGAGUAGCGAGAAAUAGGUGAGAAUCCUAUUGGCCGAAUAUCUAAGGUUUCCAGAGUAAAGCUGAUCUGCUCUGGGUAAGUCGGGGCCUAAGGCGAGGUCGAAAGACGUAGUCGAUGGAUAACAGGUUGAGAUUCCUGUACUCCGUAAUAUAAGAAAUGUGGGGACACAGAGGCAAAGCAUGAGCCGGGAAUGGAAAGACCGGUGCAAGCGCAGGAGGUGCAUAGGAGGCAAAUCCCCUAUGUAAGCCGGAGGCGUGAAGCGGAGCGAACAUAAGGGUAGCGAAGCAUGUGGAGCAGCUGUCGGGAAAAGCCGCUAUAAAGUAUUACGGACCCGUACCGUAAACCGACACAGGUGGAUGAGGAGAGAAUCCUAAGGCCGACGGAAGAAGCAUUGUUAAGGAAUUCGGCAAAAUGACCCCGUAACUUCGGGAGAAGGGGUGCCUUGGAAACAAGGCCGCAGAGAAUUGGCCCAAGCAACUGUUUAGCAAAAACACAGGUCUAUGCGAAACCGAAAGGUGAGGUAUAUGGGCUGACACCUGCCCGGUGCUGGAAGGUUAAGGGGAGUGCUCAGGAGCAAUCCGAAGGUGCGAACUUAAGCCCCAGUAAACGGCGGCCGUAACUAUAACGGUCCUAAGGUAGCGAAAUUCCUUGUCGGGUAAGUUCCG